rnacentral:rRNA from 1 species
GUCUAUGGCCAUACCACCCUGAAUGCGUCUGAUCUCGUCUGAUCUCAGAAGCUAGGCAGGGUCAGGCCUGGUUAAUACUUGGAUGGGAGAAUGUGGUCAUAAAUA